GAUGAAUCUUCGUCAUUGAAUGCAAAUAAAUCACUCGGACACAACUAUAUGAGUCAGGAUGAAUCAUAUAGUGGUAAUGUGCAUGCUAAUGAUGACAAUGACGAUUAUGACAGCGAUGAUCAAUCUUAUGCUGAAAGUGGAACCCAGAGAAAUACCGAUGGUGACGCUGAGACGAGAACCUUACAUGAUGACAAUGAUGAGGAUGAUAACAAUAAUGAGGAUGGUGAUAAUGAUGAGGAU